CGAGCUGCUAUCUGAGCACAGAGAUGGGGCCGGAGGUGGGUGGGUGAGAAGAGCAGCCGUGCUGGGAACGUCGCUUCAGCUCCGCACGGUGGAGGCGGUGGAAUUUGCUGGUCCGCCCACCCGGUGUGCGCUGAUCCGUCGCUCCUCCACCUGCUGCCGCUGCCCCGCUGCUGGCGGAGGUGUGGGGCACUCCUGCUUCCUCCCAUGUGGUUGCAGCUGUGCUUCAGCAGGGAGUGCAGCAGGCUGUGUGCCGGCACAUUGCGUGGCAGCAGGAGGACUGAAGGCGCCGGUGUUGCUCAGGUGUGUUUGUCACUCAGGUGGAGAUCUCAGAUGUCACAGCUGUCCCCUUCCUUCUUCCUUUUGGGACCGGCUCCCACCCCACACGUGGGUCAGGUGCUCCUUUGGGUUCCUCUGCUUGCUCCCAGCUAUAGGUCACAGAGAUCCUAACAAAUUCUGGUGGAAAACCAAAAGGAAUCCAAGUUGGAUGUGCUUGAACUCUGCUGCCAUGCGAAGGGUCAGGGAUGCUUGCAGCUGGAGCCAUCGAGGCGUGGCAGCAAUUAAAAAGAAGCUCUCAUAUUUUCCUUUAUAAAGAGCAGUCCUUUGUGAGAUUGAAAUGAGAAGGUGCCAUCCCUGCCCCUGCCUUCCUCCCACUAACUUUAGCAGAGAGAGGAUUGACAUUAAACUGCAUUUUAUUGCAUGUCUGCCUCGAUGUGCGUCAGCCCCGGCACUCCUUUUGGGAUCCCCUUUAAUGUCAGAGCAGUGCAAGCUCCCCGUUGCUCAGAGUGCCAAGCUUUCUCACUCAGGAUGGUGCAGUCUGAGUUUGUCUUUGUGCUGUAGUGAAGCCCCAGCUCUCCUUGCUCACGGUGAGGAAGGAGCGAGGGGUGUUGAUGCUUUGGGUUGUGCAGCUAAGUGGCUGGAGCGUGGCUGUCUCCUCCCCUUCCUGAGCUUCAGCCCCAGCCAGCGCAGCUCUGGAAUGACAGGCAUUCCUGCGCCAGGGGAGCUGGCAUGGGCGCCUAUUUAUGAGAAUCAAGUGCCUGGGGAACGGGGAGCGGGACCCGCGUGGCCCACGGGCUGCCCUGUGGCUGCUUCUCCUCCGGCAGCUCCACUCGCGCCGUGUUGGACCCCCUUGGCGUGGGGUGACCCAUUUGGAGGACCCCGGUGCUCUCCCAGGGUUUGGAUUCCUUCCUCUCUCCUCCCGCCGCCUCCCGGAGAGCGGCUUCGGAAGGGAUCUCAUGGGGCAGCCGCGCUUCUCGAGACCGGUCCAUCCAGCUGCUGCGGGAAAAUCACAGGGUAGAGCUGCAGAACAUCCUGGAUUGGGGCUGACAUCGUGCGUGCUGCUUUCCACCUCCAUUCUCUCCUAAGGCUGAGCUCAGGCAUCACAUUGGUCAUCUUUCUUUGAGUAGAAGUUGGCUGGCGUUGGUUUUUUACCACCUCUGGGUGAGCUGUUAGGGGCUGGUUGGGAAAAAAUCAAAAAACAAUAAAAGGGGAGAAAAAAUUAGAGAAAGAAAAGGAAAAGUUCUCCCCCAGGUGCCCUCAAUUGUCACUGCAGGAAAUGUGGAGCUGGAGGAGAGGAG
ensembl:lncRNA